ACUAGGGAUCGGGUGACCUCAAAAUGGAUGUAUCACUCGGCACCUUACGAGAAAUCAAANUCUUUGGGUUCUGGGGGGAGUAUGGUCGCAAGGCUGAAAUUUGAAGGAAUUGACGGAAGGGCACCACCAGGUGUGGAGCCUGCGGCUUAAUUUGACUCAACACGGGGAAACUCACCAGGUCCAGACAUAACUAGGAUUGACAGAUUGAUAGCUCUUUCAUGAUUUGAUGG
rnacentral:rRNA from 1 species